UUGGGCUAGCAUUUGGUAAGUAUGACGUCACAUGUGAGAUGACCCACUUGCUUUCAUUUCGCAUGUGACGUCAUACUUACCAAAUGCUAGCCCAAAAUC